GGGUUGUGAGGUUAAGCGACUAAGCGUACACGGUGGAUGCCCUGGCAGUCAGAGGCGAUGAAGGACGUGCUAAUCUGCGAUAAGCGUCGGUAAGGUGAUAUGAACCGUUAUAACCGGCGAUUUCCGAAUGGGGAAACCCAGUGUGUUUCGACACACUAUCAUUAACUGAAUCCAUAGGUUAAUGAGGCGAACCGGGGGAACUGAAACAUCUAAGUACCCCGAGGAAAAGAAAUCAACCGAGAUUCCCCCAGUAGCGGCGAGCGAACGGGGAGCAGCCCAGAGCCUGAAUCAGUGUGUGUGUUAGUGGAAGCGUCUGGAAAGGCGCGCGAUACAGGGUGACAGCCCCGUACACAAAAAUGCACAUAUUGUGAGCUCGAUGAGUAGGGCGGGACACGUGGUAUCCUGUCUGAAUAUGGGGGGACCAUCCUCCAAGGCUAAAUACUCCUGACUGACCGAUAGUGAACCAGUACCGUGAGGGAAAGGCGAAAAGAACCCCGGCGAGGGGAGUGAAAAAGAACCUGAAACCGUGUACGUACAAGCAGUGGGAGCACGCUUCGGCGUGUGACUGCGUACCUUUUGUAUAAUGGGUCAGCGACUUAUAUUCUGUAGCAAGGUUAACCGAAUAGGGGAGCCGAAGGGAAACCGAGUCUUAACUGGGCGUUAAGUUGCAGGGUAUAGACCCGAAACCCGGUGAUCUAGCCAUGGGCAGGUUGAAGGUUGGGUAACACUAACUGGAGGACCGAACCGACUAAUGUUGAAAAAUUAGCGGAUGACUUGUGGCUGGGGGUGAAAGGCCAAUCAAACCGGGAGAUAGCUGGUUCUCCCCGAAAGCUAUUUAGGUAGCGCCUCGUGAAUUCAUCUCCGGGGGUAGAGCACUGUUUCGGCAAGGGGGUCAUCCCGACUUACCAACCCGAUGCAAACUGCGAAUACCGGAGAAUGUUAUCACGGGAGACACACGGCGGGUGCUAACGUCCGUCGUGAAGAGGGAAACAACCCAGACCGCCAGCUAAGGUCCCAAAGUCAUGGUUAAGUGGGAAACGAUGUGGGAAGGCCCAGACAGCCAGGAUGUUGGCUUAGAAGCAGCCAUCAUUUAAAGAAAGCGUAAUAGCUCACUGGUCGAGUCGGCCUGCGCGGAAGAUGUAACGGGGCUAAACCAUGCACCGAAGCUGCGGCAGCGACGCUUAUGCGUUGUUGGGUAGGGGAGCGUUCUGUAAGCCUGCGAAGGUGUGCUGUGAGGCAUGCUGGAGGUAUCAGAAGUGCGAAUGCUGACAUAAGUAACGAUAAAGCGGGUGAAAAGCCCGCUCGCCGGAAGACCAAGGGUUCCUGUCCAACGUUAAUCGGGGCAGGGUGAGUCGACCCCUAAGGCGAGGCCGAAAGGCGUAGUCGAUGGGAAACAGGUUAAUAUUCCUGUACUUGGUGUUACUGCGAAGGGGGGACGGAGAAGGCUAUGUUGGCCGGGCGACGGUUGUCCCGGUUUAAGCGUGUAGGCUGGUUUUCCAGGCAAAUCCGGAAAAUCAAGGCUGAGGCGUGAUGACGAGGCACUACGGUGCUGAAGCAACAAAUGCCCUGCUUCCAGGAAAAGCCUCUAAGCAUCAGGUAACAUCAAAUCGUACCCCAAACCGACACAGGUGGUCAGGUAGAGAAUACCAAGGCGCUUGAGAGAACUCGGGUGAAGGAACUAGGCAAAAUGGUGCCGUAACUUCGGGAGAAGGCACGCUGAUAUGUAGGUGAAGUCCCUUGCGGAUGGAGCUGAAAUCAGUCGAAGAUACCAGCUGGCUGCAACUGUUUAUUAAAAACACAGCACUGUGCAAACACGAAAGUGGACGUAUACGGUGUGACGCCUGCCCGGUGCCGGAAGGUUAAUUGAUGGGGUCAGCGCAAGCGAAGCUCUUGAUCGAAGCCCCGGUAAACGGCGGCCGUAACUAUAACGGUCCUAAGGUAGCGAAAUUCCUUGUCGGGUAAGUUCCGACCUGCACGAAUGGCGUAAUGAUGGCCAGGCUGUCUCCACCCGAGACUCAGUGAAAUUGAACUCGCUGUGAAGAUGCAGUGUACCCGCGGCAAGACGGAAAGACCCCGUGAACCUUUACUAUAGCUUGACACUGAACAUUGAGCCUUGAUGUGUAGGAUAGGUGGGAGGCUUUGAAGUGUGGACGCCAGUCUGCAUGGAGCCGACCUUGAAAUACCACCCUUUAAUGUUUGAUGUUCUAACGUUGACCCGUAAUCCGGGUUGCGGACAGUGUCUGGUGGGUAGUUUGACUGGGGCGGUCUCCUCCUAAAGAGUAACGGAGGAGCACGAAGGUUGGCUAAUCCUGGUCGGACAUCAGGAGGUUAGUGCAAUGGCAUAAGCCAGCUUGACUGCGAGCGUGACGGCGCGAGCAGGUGCGAAAGCAGGUCAUAGUGAUCCGGUGGUUCUGAAUGGAAGGGCCAUCGCUCAACGGAUAAAAGGUACUCCGGGGAUAACAGGCUGAUACCGCCCAAGAGUUCAUAUCGACGGCGGUGUUUGGCACCUCGAUGUCGGCUCAUCACAUCCUGGGGCUGAAGUAGGUCCCAAGGGUAUGGCUGUUCGCCAUUUAAAGUGGUACGCGAGCUGGGUUUAGAACGUCGUGAGACAGUUCGGUCCCUAUCUGCCGUGGGCGCUGGAGAACUGAGGGGGGCUGCUCCUAGUACGAGAGGACCGGAGUGGACGCAUCACUGGUGUUCGGGUUGUCAUGCCAAUGGCACUGCCCGGUAGCUAAAUGCGGAAGAGAUAAGUGCUGAAAGCAUCUAAGCACGAAACUUGCCCCGAGAUGAGUUCUCCCUGACUCCUUGAGAGUCCUGAAGGAACGUUGAAGACGACGACGUUGAUAGGCCGGGUGUGUAAGCGCAGCGAUGCGUUGAGCUAACCGGUACUAAUGAACCGUGAGGCUUAACCUUACAACGCCGAAGGUGUUU
rnacentral:rRNA from 1 species